UUGUGAACAUAAGUUUUUGGUAGGUUUUUUUAAUGAGGUUAACGCCCUCCCCUACUCAAUUACGUUUCGUUUUCGCGGUUGUUCGUGAAGAGUGUUGGAUAUUAAUGGUAGAAUAUCCAAUCACGACUCAUGUUCGGAAAGUGGUGGACAGAAUGUGACUGCUUCCACUACGAUUUUUUUUGGUAUGAGAGAGGCAUGGAAGGUAUGAAUGCGUGAGGUAUGGUAAAUACGGAAGAUAUGAUGUAUGGAAACUUUAUAUGCGUGAUGUAUGUCAGGGGCGACACAACCUGGCUCACUUUUAGUUUUGAGCGGUCCUUAACAUGGCCAAAUUGGGUGUUCUGUAGUAGGUGGGUAUCGGGUGCUUACCACACCCGAGCACGGUUUGUGCAUUUUUGCGUAUUUGUGGCUACGCAGUUUGGUCGGUUUGGUGGGGAGAGCCAGCAGUCACCCAUUUUCAGGGGCUGUUUUUUUUUGUUUCGGGCUCUCAUUUUUGGGCCAUAUCGACCGCGGUACACCGAUUGGUGGUACCUUUUUGUGAUUAUCGUGCUGGCGGGUUCAACGGCCAUUUUUCGGCGUUGGAACGACACACGGAGUUUGUUGCCACGUCUUUACCCGACUUCGUAGGAAGAAGGGUAAUGUUUUGUUUAGCCUACUACAGACAUGCAAUUGUUUUGAUAUUUUUUUAGUUUAGCUACAGCCAAAUGGUUGUAGGUAUGGUUUUGGUUUUGAUUUUUUUUGCCAGGGUUAGGUGAGAACCACACCUGCGAGGAGUUGAGUGCAACUUUAAAUUGUUUUUAGAUUUGGGGUCUCGUCGUCAACGUAGUUAGUUUUUUUUGGUAUUUUGAGGGAGAGUUGGCACAGAUUGGUGUGGCCAAUUCAACCAGGCAUAGUUUUUUUGGUUCAGUUUGUUUUUUUUAGUUUGUUCACCUGAAGGGUUGAGACAAGCAGGUGUCGUCAACCUGUAGGGCUGUAACAAUGAUUUUGGUUUGGUUUUGGAAGUUUAUAGUCGGAAGACUAUAACUUUGGUUUCGCCCGGUCUAGCUGAGUUUUUUUUUUUGGGAAUGCUGAACAUCGGUCCUGGCGGUUGGUUUUUUGGUUUUCUCAGCACAACAAGCUUUAUUGCAAGUUGCACUGAGAAGGCCAACGGUUUGUUUACUGUUUUGGAAUUUAGCAGAGGUUUUUUUUCUAUAUGCAGCGCAUCAGUUGGCCGCAUAGUUUUUUUCACCCUCCGAGGGUUGACGCGGGUUCGAGAUUUUUUUUAAAUAUUUUUUUUUGUGGUCAAACAGUAGUUUUGCUUGUUUUUAAAUACCUUUUGGUAUAAUUUUGUAGAUUUUGGGGGAUGAUUUUUUUGAGAUUUUGCAGUCUCGAACUUGCGUCAGGUUUUUUUGAUUCUGAUAUUUUUUGGUAGGUUUAGUUUUCUUGCCUUCAGAUUUUGUUUUUUUUUUCUUAUGAAAGUCGCUGAGGACAGCGAGCGGUUCACCUACGUUGAACCUUAAAUCGGGAAGGGGGGUAUUGUAACGUAGCAGAUUUUUUGAUAGUCGGAAUUAAUAUUUUGGAUAGAUUUAAUUUUUGAAUGAAACACUUCCUUCUCGUUCAUUGCAUUAUCUGUUGCACUUCAAAUGCACAUAUUUAUGUUUAUCUGUUGUAGGGUUGCCAUACAACAAGUAUUAUUCGAAAUUGUAGGUAUUUUGGCUGUCAUUCCAGGAAAACUUUGUAUAGUUUUGAUAUACUUUAAGUAUUGAUUUUUGGAAAAUAUAAUAUUUUAGAGACAUGAUAACAAAUGUUAUCAUAGGUUUUUUAAGGCUGUUCUGGAAUGAUAUUUGUUAGGUUUUGUUUACUUCAAGGUCUGAUACAGAAACUGGAGUAAUUUUCAUCUAAUGAAUUAGAGUAUUUUAUUGUUUAUUCGUUUGCCACCCGGCUUUUGUUUUGGGUCCUUUAAAUUCGAGAUCAUUCAGUGCGCCGUUCUUUCUGUGACGAGAUCCUCUUGUAUAGUGAUCGGACGGCCGUAUAAGGGCCUGGAGCCCGGCAUGCCACGUGCUGCCGUGGCGUUCCAUAUUUUGUGUGGUGCGUUCUGUCAGUCUGACUGGCAGAAACAUGCUAAGGGUGGGAGUGCUCCUUGGAGAUCCUCGGUCUGCAGUCUGCAGGUCUCCGGUGAGCUCGCUUACAUUUUUUUGUUUAGUCUAUCACAGUGUGUGAGGGCACUCGACUAAUGUGACCAAUUUAUUUGUUUCAUAGGAGUCGGGAAGAAGUAAAGAAUUAGAGAAUUGCAGAAGUAGAUAAUUAAACAAGAACCUUUACAAUUUCGAUGUGCAAGGAAACUUCUUUGGCUUACUGGCGCAAGGUGUCUUUGGACCUUGUUUUCGUAUGGAAGGGUCAGCCCUGUCCACGUGGCGAGGGGGCGUCAGCACCGGAGUCCGGGGAGCAGCCGGCUCAUCCCUGACAAGGUGUGUCUCCUGCCCGUUUCCUGCCGGUAAUGCUGUGUAAUUCAGGUUUUUAAUUUCUGUGUAAAGUAAUUUCUGAUUUCAUUUAUUUUGAGAAUUCUGGUGCAUAACUUUAGGUAAAUUCAUAUUUAGUUUUUGUAGAAUAAAUGGUUGUAAGAAACCUUUUCCUGGACCCUCUUAAAGCGGCCCAGCUUUACCACUGAGCGUAGUUCAUAUUUUAUAUGGUGUCGAAUUUAGUAUUUCGGGAAACAUUAAAUGAAACCUUUCUGUAGGCAAGAGUUUAUUUAUAAUUAAUAAAGUUAUAAAAUGUGA